UCGCGCUAGGUGGGCAGUUGGCGGUUGCCUGUACUCCAAAUCCGCCUUAUGGGAGGCUGAAUCCCCACCCGAGGCUUCGCUGCUCGGGGAUUGGUUUCCCGGCAAGUAGCGUUGACGGCUGGGUCCCGCGCGAGUGACCGGAGUGAACCAGGUCAGGUCGGGAACGAAGCAGCCUUAAGCUUCAAGGCACUGCGCCGCGGGGGCACCUGGCCCGAGCUGGCUACCGGGGUAACACCCCGGAGCAGGAAGUCGAAGGUGGGUGCGCGA
rnacentral:SRP_RNA from 1 species